CUUGCUUUUAUUAUUUUAGCGGCGGACGGGUGAGUAACGUGUGGGUAACCUGCCUUUUACUGGGGAAUAAUCACUGGAAACGGUGACUAAUACCGCAUAAUAUUCUUAGGAGGCAUCUUCUGAGAAGGAAAGGAGAAAUUCGGUAAAAGAUGGGCCCGCAUCUGAUUAGCUAGUUGGUGAGAUAACAGCCCACCAAGGCGACGAUCAGUAGCCGACCUGAGAGGGUGACCGGCCACAUUGGGACUGAGACACGGCCCAAACUCCUACGGGAGGCAGCAGUGGGGAAUAUUGCACAAUGGGGGAAACCCUGAUGCAGCAACGCCGCGUGAAGGAAGACGGUUUUCGGAUUGUAAACUUCUAUCAAUAGGGAAGAAAGAAAUGACGGUACCUAGAUAAGAAGCCCCGGCUAACUACGUGCCAGCAGCCGCGGUAAUACGUAGGGGGCAAGCGUUAUCCGGAAUUACUGGGUGUAAAGGGAGAGUAGGCGGCAAGGUAAGCGAUAUGUGAAAGCCUUAGGCUUAACCUGAGGAUUGCAUAACGAACUAUCUAGCUAGAGUACAGGAGAGGAAAGCGGAAUUCCUAGUGUAGCGGUGAAAUGCGUAGAUAUUAGGAAGAACACCAGUGGCGAAGGCGGCUUUCUGGACUGAAACUGACGCUGAGGCUCGAAAGCGUGGGGAGCGAACAGGAUUAGAUACCCUGGUAGUCCACGCUGUAAACGAUGAGUGCUA
rnacentral:rRNA from 1 species